CAAGUCAUGCCAAUAUCAGAGAGUCGAGAGCCAUAUAUACAAAGGCCUACACAUAAAGAAAGGAUGCAUAACAAGGCCAUAUGAUGAGAUUUCCCAGUUCUAGACGAAGUAGGCGAGUCCAAGUAAAGAAAAUGCUGCUGACAGUUGCAUCAGAAAUAUUGAAUCUAAAUGCAAGGUCAUGAACCAGAAGACCAAGUCUUAAUCUCAUCAAUACCAGCAACAACUCAAGCUCUAGGGAUAGUUUUCUACUUGGCCAAGGGCGUUUAAAGGAGUUGUGCCACUGAUAGCAUCUGACAAAGUAAAAAACAAAGUUAAAUAUGGAUUGUCAGUGGUGGGCAUACCAUCUGAAAAGUGGUUUGAACACACACGUAUACCAUUGCCUGGAAUAUAAUCCUGACGAUCUUUUAAUAUUUGAGAAUUCCAUUUAUUCCUCAUUAUCUCAUCAGAUGGAAGUUUAUGAAAUUUAAGAGUAUGAACAUGUGAUUUUGUAUCAUAAUUUUGUGGACAUCUUGUGUCAUUGUUACAAGGACCAGCCGCACACCUAUCACCUCCUCCCAUUUUUUUUAUUUGAAUAUCAAUUAUAUCAAUUAUAUAUAAAUAUGAAAGUUGACCCUCGGAUACUAGCAGAC